rnacentral:rRNA from 1 species
AUAAAUCAUUAAAUUUAAAAGAUUUGGCGGUAUUUUAUAUAAUUAGAGGAACCUGUAAGGUAAUUGAUAGUCCACAAUAAGAUUUACUUGAUAACUUAUGUAUUGCUGUUUAAAAAUUAUUAUUAAUUAAUUUAUUUUAUUUUUAAUUUAAUUUAAUUCAAGUCAAAAUAUAGUUUUAUUAAGUUAUGGGUUACUGUAUUAUUUUGAAAAAGGAUUUAAUAGUAA